GAUGAACGCUGACAGAAUGCUUAACACAUGCAAGUCGAUGGGGAAGUGGUGCUUGCACCAUGGCAACCAUGGCGGACGGGUGAGUAACGCGUAAGGGACUUACCUGCAGGACUGGGAUAACAGGGGGAAACUCCUGACAAGACCGGAUAAUGUCAUGGAGCUGCAUGGCUUUAUGAUGAAAGGAGACGCCUGCGGAGAGCCUUGCGUCCUAUUAGCUAGUUGGUGAGGUAAUGGCCCACCAAGGCGAAGAUAGGUAGCCGGCCUGAGAGGGUGGACGGCCACAAGGGGACUGAGAUACGGCCCUUACUCCUACGGGAGGCAGCAGUGGGGAAUAUUGGACAAUGGGGGCAACACUGAUCCAGCAAUUCUGUGUGCACGAAGAAGGUUUUCGGAUUGUAAAGUGCUUUCAGCAGGGAAGAAGUAAGUGACGGUACCUGCAGAAGAAGCGACGGCUAAAUACGUG
rnacentral:rRNA from 1 species